UCUUUGUGUAGGCAGCAACGUGAGGAAAACAAACGUACCCGGGAACACGUUGCAGGGCGAGGAGACGGAACGAGGUCGGCACAUGAAGUUAGCAGACAGUUAGCAUGGACUCUACAGGACAAUAUUCCUAACCUGGAGGAAUUCUUUCCAUCUGUGGACACUUCCGGACUAGAGGAAUAUUAAUAAGACAGGAAAGGACGGGGACUGAAGGUUUAGGACAGCCUCCAGCUCAUCUGUGGGACGAGACCCUUCUGACUUCAGGACGUCCGUCUGGAAUUAGUUCCCCCUGAAGAACAAGAAUGAGUUCUCCACAAAAGAAACGGAGAAGAAGAGGAGAAAAACGUCACCACUGUCACCACUGUGACAAGUCCUUCACAAAUUCAAACUCUUUAAAGAUUCAUCAGAGAGUUCACACUGGAGAGAAACCUUACAGAUGUGAUCUUUGUGGGACAACUUUCACACUACAGGGUAAC